UGGGGAAUAUUGGACAAUGGGCGCAAGCCUGAUCCAGCAAUGCCGCGUGUGUGAGGAAGGCCUUCGGGUUGUAAAGCACUUUUAUCAGGAGCGAAACGCUGUCGGCUAAUACCCGGCGGAACUGACGGUACCUGAGGAAUAAGCACCGGCUAACUUCGUGCCAGCAGCCGCGGUAAUACGAAGGGUGCAAGCGUUACUCGGAAUUACUGGGCGUAAAGCGUGCGUAGGUGGUUGUUUAAGUCUGAUGUGAAAGCCCUGGGCUCAACCUGGGAAUGGCAUUGGAAACUGGGCAGCUAGAGUGCGGUAGAGGGGAGUGGAAUUCCUGGUGUAGCAGUGAAAUGCGUAGAGAUCGGGAGGAACAUCUGUGGCGAAGGCGACUGCCUGGACCAGCACUGACACUGAGGCACGAAAGCGUGGGGAGCAAACA
rnacentral:rRNA from 1 species